rnacentral:ncRNA from 2 species
AAGAGAAAAAUGAGGCAGCAAGUGGGCAAAAGAUCAUGUGUUUUAGAAAAAUUGACUAUCGAUUUUUUAAUAACCGGUGUCGAAUAGUCAACUUAGAACUGACAUGGACAAGGGGAAUCAAAUUGUUUAAUUAAAACAAGGCAUUGCGAUGGUCCCUGCGGAUGCUAACGCAAUGUGAUUUCUGCCCAGUGCUCUAAAUGUCAAAGUGAAAAAAUUCAACCAAGUGCGAUUAAACGGCGAGAGUAACUAUGACUCUCUUAAGGUAGCCAAAUGCCUCGUCAUCUAAUUAGUGACGUGCAUGAAUGGAUCAACAAGAUUUCCACUGUCCCUGCCUACUAUCCAGUGAAACCAUAGCCAAGGGAACGGGCUUGGCAGAAUCAGUGGGAAAAGAAGAUCCUGUUGAGCUUGACUCUAGUUCGACUUUGUGAAAUGACUUGAGAAGUUUAGGAUAUGUAGGAGCUGGAAACAACGAAAGUGAAAUACCACUACUUUUAAUGUUAUUUUACUUAUUCCGUGAAUCGGAAGCGAGGCACUGCCCCUCUUUUUGGACCCAGGGUCUUCUUCACUCGAUUGAUCCGGGCGGAAGACAUUGUCAUGUAGGGAGUUUAGCUGGGGUGGUACCUCUGUUAAAAGAUAAUGCAAGUAUCCUAAGAUGAGCUCAACGAGAACAAAAAUCUCGUGUGGAACAAAAGGAUAAAAGCUCGUUUGAUUAUGAUUUCCAAUAUGAAUGUGAAUUGUGAAAGCAUGGCCUAUCGAUCCUUUAGUCCUUCGAAAUUUGAAGUUAGACGUGUCAAGUUACCACAGGGAUAAAUGGCUUGUGGCAUCCAAGUGUUCAUAGUGACAUUGCUUUUUGAUCCUUCGGUGUUGGCUCUUCCUAUCAUUGUGAAGCAGAAUUUUCCAAGUGUUGGAUUGUUCACCCACUAAUCAAUUUUAAUCAAAAUCGAUGUUAAGAGAUAUACACAACAUCGAUUUUUACAAAACUGAUGUUAAC